GUGGCUGGAGAGAUGGCUCAGCGGUUAAGAGCACUGAUUGUCCUUCCAGAGGUCCUGAGUUCAAGUCCCAGCAACCACA
rnacentral:tRNA from 1 species